rnacentral:ncRNA from 1 species
GGGGACCUACGGGGCCCUAUCCACCAAGAGACGCGGCGGCAACGCUGCGCGAAGCAGACGGAAGACAGAAA